rnacentral:rRNA from 1 species
AAUAAGCACCGGCUAAUUACGUGCCAGCAGCCGCGGUAAUACGUAGGGUGCAAGCGUUAUUCGGAAUUAUUGGGCGUAAAGCGUGCGCAGGCGGUUCGUUAAGUCAGAUGUGAAAUCCCCGGGCUUAACUUGGGACCUGCAUUGGGGACGGGCGGACUCGAGUAUGGCAGAGGGGGGUAGAAUUCCACGUGUAGCAGUGAAAUGCGUAGAGAUGUGGAGGAAUACCGAUGGCGAAGGCAGCCCCCUGGGCCAAUACUGACGCUCAUGCACGAAAGCGUGGGGAGCAAACAGGAUUAGAUACCCUGGUAGUCCACGCCGUAAACGAUGUCAACUGGUUGUCGGGCCUUCAUCGCCUUGGUAACGUAGCUAACGCGUGAAGUUGACCGCCUGGGGAGUACGGUCGCAAGAUUAAAACUCAAAGGAAUUGACGGGGACCCGCACAAGCGGUGGAUGAUGUGGAUUAAUUCGAUGCAACGCGAAAAACCUUACCUACCCUUGACAUGUACGGAAUUCUGCUGAGAGGCGGGAGUGCCCGAAAGGGA